rnacentral:rRNA from 1 species
ACGGGUGAGUAACGCGUGGGAAUCUACCCAUCUCUACGGAACAACUCCGGGAAACUGGAGCUAAUACCGUAUACGUCCUUUUGGAGAAAGAUUUAUCGGAGAUGGAUGAGCCCGCGUUGGAUUAGCUAGUUGGUGGGGUAAUGGCCUACCAAGGCGACGAUCCAUAGCUGGUCUGAGAGGAUGAUCAGCCACACUGGGACUGAGACACGGCCCAGACUCCUACGGGAGGCAGCAGUGGGGAAUAUUGGACAAUGGGCGCAAGCCUGAUCCAGCCAUGCCGCGUGAGUGAUGAAGGCCCUAGGGUUGUAAAGCUCUUUCAACGGUGAAGAUAAUGACGGUAACCGUAGAAGAAGCCCCGGCUAACUUCGUGCCAGCAGCCGCGGUAAUACGAAGGGGGCUAGCGUUGUUCGGAAUUACUGGGCGUAAAGCGCACGUAGGCGGAUACCUAAGUCAGGGGUGAAAUCCCGGGGCUCAACCCCGGAACUGCCUUUGAUACUGGGUAUCUCGAGUCCGGAAGAGGUGAGUGGAAUUCCGAGUGUAGAGGUGAAAUUCGUAGA